rnacentral:rRNA from 1 species
CUACGGGAGGCUGCAGUGGGGAAUAUUGGACAAUGGGCGAAAGCCUGAUCCAGCCAUGCCGCGUGUGUGAAGAAGGCCUUCGGGUUGUAAAGCACUUUCAGUGGGGAAGAAAGCCUUGGGGCUAAUACCCUCGAGGAAGGACAUCACCCACAGAAGAAGCACCGGCUAACUCCGUGCCAGCAGCCGCGGUAAUACGGAGGGUGCGAGCGUUAAUCGGAAUUACUGGGCGUAAAGCGCGCGUAGGCGGUCUGAUAAGCCGGUUGUGAAAGCCCCGGGCUCAACCUGGGAACGGCAUCCGGAACUGUCAGGCUAGAGUGCAGGAGAGGAAGGUAGAAUUCCCGGUGUAGCGGUGAAAUGCGUAGAGAUCGGGAGGAAUACCAGUGGCGAAGGCGGCCUUCUGGACUGACACUGACGCUGAGGUGCGAAAGCGUGGGUAGCAAACAGGAUUAGAUACCCUGGUAGUC